GAUGAACGCUGGCGGCGUGCCUAAUACAUGCGAGUCGAGCGAACAGACGAGGAGCUUGCUCCUCUGACGUUAGCGGCGGACGGGUGAGUAACACGUGGAUAACCUACCUAUAAGACUGGGAUAACUUCGGGAAACCGGAGCUAAUACCGGAUAAUAUAUUGAACCGCAUGGUUCAAUAGUGAAAGACGGUUUUGCUGUCACUUAUAGAUGGAUCCGCGCCGCAUUAGCUAGUUGGUAAGGUAACGGCUUACCAAGGCGACGAUGCGUAGCCGACCUGAGAGGGUGAUCGGCCACACUGGAACUGAGACACGGUCCAGACUCCUACGGGAGGCAGCAGUAGGGAAUCUUCCGCAAUGGGCGAAAGCCUGACGGAGCAACGCCGCGUGAGUGAUGAAGGUCUUCGGAUCGUAAAACUCUGUUAUUAGGGAAGAACAAAUGUGUAAGUAACUAUGCACGCCUUGACGGUACCUAAUCAGAAAGCCACGGCUAACUACGUG
rnacentral:rRNA from 1 species